rnacentral:rRNA from 1 species
GAUGAACGCUGGCGGCGUGCCUAACACAUGCAAGUCGAGCGGCAGCGAGGGGUGCUUGCACCCUGUCGGCGAGUGGCGGACGGCUGAGUAACGCGUGGGAACGUGCCCCAAAGUGAGGAAUAACUGCCCGAAAGGGUAGCUAAUACCGCAUAUUAUCUUCGGAUCAAAGGAUUUAUCCGCUUUGGGAGCGGCUCGCGUCGGAUUAGGUAGUUGGUGAGGUAAUGGCUCACCAAGCCGACGAUCCGUAGCUGGUCUGAGAGGAUGACCAGCCAGACUGGAACUGAGACACGGUCCAGACUCCUACGGGAGGCAGCAGUGAGGAAUCUUCCACAAUGGGCGAAAGCCUGAUGGAGCAACGCCGCGUGCAGGACGAAGGCCUUCGGGUUGUAAACUGCUUUUAUAAGUGAGGAAUAUGACGGUAACUUAUGAAUAAGGAUCGGCUAACUACGUG